UCCCGCGCUCCUGCCAAGAGCGUGACGCCCGCCUGCAACAGGUGCCGGCCGGCGCAGGCUGCCAGCCGCGGCUCCGCUACAGAGCAGGGCUUCCCGUGGCCGCUGUCCGGCUCCCGGCCUGUCCACGGCUGGCGCCAACCCUUCACCCCAGCACCUGCGCGCCAGAGCCGCCCGUGGCAGCCCGCGGCGCCGAGAUGGAGGCGCUCGUGUGAGCUGAGGGCUGGAGGGCCAGGGUCAAGAUUAGGAGGGGCGGGGGGAUCGGCCCCACUGGGCUUUAUACGGCCCAUUUCAUCCGUUGCAAAGGGAUGGCAGAGAAGCGCCAGGCUGGCAGCCCGGCGCCCUCCACACGCGGGCCACCGCCGAGCCUGCAGCCCGUGCCCACCAGCCUCCCGGCCCUCCGCAGACCGGCCACGCGCCCAGGCUGGCGGAGGAGCAGGAGGGCGGCCGGUCCCUCGUGGCAUCCCCUCCUGCUCCUCGGCCGGUCCUCGCGGCCCCGGGAACUGCCCACGGUCGUGGCGCGGCCACCUUCCUCCCACCCGGGCGCACAGGGCUGCUCCCUCAGCGCCCAUCCCGCUCGCCCCCCGCCUAGGCUGUCCCCUUGCAGCCCGCGCCCUGCUCCCUGGGGCCGCGCACAGAGCCCGGCCUGGCUCUGUCCAUUGCCGGCCCAGCAGGGCGAGCGCCACGGGCGUGGAGGCCCACGCAGGACGCUUGCAGCAGCGGGAGCUUAUGAGGGUCCUUUAUGACCCACCCCGUAAGGCCGUGCUCCCGUGGCGGGGUCGGGGGCCGCUUCGGGGCACCCCGGGGGCUGCCGGGGAGCGGCCCGUGGUCCCCGGGGAAAGGCCCUCCCCGAGAAGCAGCGAUGCCCGUGGCCCUGGGGCCUGGCAGGAUGAGCUCCGCGUCCCACCCGGGCCCUCUUGGCAACCCUGUUCCCGCCACCUGAACUCAACCACGAUAACCCGGCAGUGUCAAAGGCCGGCCGCGUGGCCCCGACCUCGCCGGGCAAAGCGUCGUGCCCAAGGCCCCACGGCAGCUCGGUAG
rnacentral:lncRNA from 1 species